ACGAUCUUACUUGAACAGGGUCUGUUCUAUAGGAUUGUACUACUGUGUCCUUGAUUUCUAAGGAGACAGGAACAAAAAUCUGGAUGAAGAACAAUGACCGUGCGAUCAGAGCGUGAUUAACGGCAUGGAUGAUUCUCAAUUUGGAGAUAUCAUCCUCUGCUGUGAAGGAUCGUUCUUGAUCAGGUUGAUCUCUGAUCUAGACGUUCGUACGGUGUUCUGACAGAUG